CAUGAAGAUGGUCUCUGUGUCCUCAGCUCAAGAAUCCUGUAGCUUGUCCCAUCAUAAUCCAUUCACCCGUUCAUCAUGUGUACUGAGCAGCUACCAUGUUCAAGGUAAUAUGCCAGGCGCUGUAUGUCUCCACUGCCAAGUAGAAGUGACUCAAAACCCUCUGACAAGGAUAUUCCCUUGGCUAUGGUCCUGCCAGGUGCAGGCCCAGGCCCAUGACCCCACCUUUACUAAGCACAAGUACUUGCCACUGCCAUCACUGCCAAGUAACUAGAUGUCUCUGUUUCCCUGCCAAUGAUCCUGCAGGUUCUGCCCGGUCUGGUUAUCUUCCUGUUCCUGUAGCAUAGCCAGGCACUGCCAAUCACCUGCACCCCCAUUGCUGUCAGCAGAUGUCUUGGGUCCUGAGUGUAAGGAGACAGGAGGAGUAGGAGGAGGCAGGGCCUCUCCAUGCCAGCCUCUGUGGUCCUUGCCCAAACCCAUCAGCGCAUACUUGAACCUUCUCCCAGGUAGGGGCAGGAGGAGCCACAUGAGAGA
rnacentral:sRNA from 1 species